AGGGACGAGGUGCGGCCGGAAAAAUGGACCAGUACCUCUAAGACAAGUCCACGACGGGACAAAAAAACCCAGGAGCGACACUAGGAAGUAACGUCCCUGGCGGUCCACCUCCUUUUAUGGGGUUUGCCCCAGGGCCCCGGAUGCAACAGGAAUGCCUCCAGACCAUGGAAAAUGUGUGAGUCAAGCAACACACAGUGUCAUCUUCCAAAGACAAGAUGGAAAUAGAGGUUCGCUUGAACUUUUCAGAUGUCUGCUCUACAUGAUGCCGACAGCAAACACUUGGAAUCUUGAGUGGACUCAGCACCGUAUGCACGGGACAUGUUAUGAGCUCCUUAUAAAUGUUGAAUGAGUGCACAGAAUACAGCAAGUAGGUUCCAAUGACAUUCUAGAAAUUCAAUAUUGAUAGAGAGACUAAGCUGAAAGAGUAAAACUUAAGAAUUAAAUUAAUUUAAUGGUAAUUUAAGACUUGCUAUUUACUGUAUUUGGAACAAAUAAUUAAGUAAAGUCAAAAUAUCAUCAACAUAUGAACCUUCACUAAAGAAUAUUAAAUGAAUCACAAAUCUAAAGUAUGCAACAGCAAACAUUUUUUUCCGAUAGAUUAAAUGACAAGAUAUAUUAAAAAGUGCUUCACUUUUUUUUUUUAAGGUUUACUGAUUCAUUUCAAAGGCAGAGCAACAGAGAGGGAGGGAGAGACAGAGAGAAAGAGAUCUUGUAACCUCUGAUUCACUCUC